rnacentral:misc_RNA from 1 species
CGAACCCUCAAGCACGGCUUGUGUGUUGGGCCGCCGUCCCCCCGUUGCAGGGGGGGGGACGGGCCUGAAAGGCAGCGGCGGCGUCGCGUCCGGUCCUCGAGCGUAUGGGGCUCUGUCACGCGCUCAAGGAGGGGUCCGGCCGGGGCCAUAGCCUCAAAGGUCAGACUUUUUUCCAA